AAAGUUGCAAAGCACUUUGAAGAGAGAGUUAAAGAGGACGUGAAACCGAUGAGGUGGAAACGGAUAGAGUCAACGUAUCUAGCUUGUAUUCAGUGGUUUGGUCGCUGCUGCGCCUGUUUGCCAAUCCCGCUUCUGGUUGGCGAUGGGCUGUGUGCAGUGGUCAGGCGGUGCAUUUGCAAGUGGAGUGCGCUGAGGGGUGUGGGCCAGCGAUUGGAGCCUUGGUUUGAGGGCACUCUCUCGAGAGCGAAUCCCCACCAAGAGGAAGAGUGUUUGGCCUGCAUUGCAAUGGCAAUGGCCUACGACCCUCUGUGCCGGCUGGGCUGUCACUGGUAACGGUCGCAUGCGACACGUGCCUGUUGUGGUCUUGCUAUGUGCUUGGGGUCUCUUUGCCUAUCUCGGUGUAAAAGUUGGUCAUCUAUCCGACCCGUCUUGAAACACGGACCAAGGAGUUUAGCGUGUACGCGAGUCAUUGAGUGUGAAACUCAAAGGCGCAAUGAAAGUGAAUGAAAGUGAUAUGCGACCCCCGAGCCUUGGGGCGAUGGGUGCAGCAUAGCCCUGUGACGAUCAUUUAUGAUGUUGCAGAGGUAGAGCGUAUUCGCUGAGACCCGAAAGAUGGUGAACUAUUCCUGAGCAGGAUGAAGCCAGAGGAAACUCUGGUGGAAGUCCGAAGCGGUUCUGACGUGCAAAUCGAUCGUCUGACUU
rnacentral:rRNA from 1 species